rnacentral:rRNA from 1 species
CGGAUGAAGAGAGCUUGCUCUCUGAUUCAGCGGCGGACGGGUGAGUAAUGCCUAGGAAUCUGCCUAUUAGUGGGGGACAACGUUUCGAAAGGAACGCUAAUACCGCAUACGUCCUACGGGAGAAAGCAGGGGACCUUCGGGCCUUGCGCUAAUAGAUGAGCCUAGGUCGGAUUAGCUAGUUGGUGAGGUAAAGGCUCACCAAGGCGACGAUCCGUAACUGGUCUGAGAGGAUGAUCAGUCACACUGGAACUGAGACACGGUCCAGACUCCUACGGGAGGCAGCAGUGGGGAAUAUUGGACAAUGGGCGAAAGCCUGAUCCAGCCAUGCCGCGUGUGUGAAGAAGGUCUUCGGAUUGUAAAGCACUUUAAGUUGGGAGGAAGGGCAGUAAGUUAAUACCUUGCUGUUUUGACGUUACCGACAGAAUAAGCACCGGCUAACUUCGUGCCAGCAGCCGCGGUAAUACGAAGGGUGCAAGCGUUAAUCGGAAUUACUGGGCGUAAAGCGCGCGUAGGUGGUUCGUUAAGUUGGAUGUGAAAGCCCCGGGCUCAACCUGGGAACUGCAUCCAAAACUGGCGAGCUAGAGUAUGGCAGAGGGUGGUGGAAUUUCCUGUGUAGCGGUGAAAUGCGUAGAUAUAGGAAGGAACACCAGUGGCGAAGGCGACCACCUGGGCUAAUACUGACACUGAGGUGCGAAAGC